rnacentral:rRNA from 1 species
GACGAACGCUGGCGGCGUGCUUAACACAUGCAAGUCGAACGGUAAGGCCCUUCGGGGUACACGAGUGGCGAACGGGUGAGUAACACGUGGGUGAUCUGCCCUGCACUUCGGGAUAAGCCUGGGAAACUGGGUCUAAUACCGGAUAGGACCACUGCCUGCAUGGGUGGUGGUGGAAAGCUUUUGCGGUGUGGGAUGGGCCCGCGGCCUAUCAGCUUGUUGGUGGGGUGAUGGCCUACCAAGGCGACGACGGGUAGCCGGCCUGAGAGGGUGACCGGCCACACUGGGACUGGGAUGCGGCCCAGACUCCUACGGGAGGCAGCAGUGGGGAAUAUUGCACAAUGGGCGCAAGCCUGAUGCAGCGACGCCGCGUGAGGGAUGACGGCCUUCGGGUUGUAAACCUCUUUCAGCACCGACGAAGCGCAAGUGACGGUAGGUGCAGAAGAAGGACCGGCCAACUACGUGCCAGCAGCCGCCGUAA